GAUGAACGCUAGCGGCAGGCCUAAUACAUGCAAGUCGAACGGGAUCCAGAUCAAAGCUUGCUUUGGCCUGGUGAGAGUGGCGCACGGGUGCGUAACGCGUGAGCAACCUACCCUUGUCAGGGGGAUAGCCCGGCGAAAGUCGGAUUAAUACCGCAUGACAUCAUUGAGAGGCAUCUUUCGAUGAUCAAAGAUUUAUCGGACAAGGAUGGGCUCGCGUGACAUUAGCUAGUUGGUAAGGUAACGGCUUACCAAGGCUGCGAUGUCUAGGGGCUCUGAGAGGAGAAUCCCCCACACUGGUACCGAGACACGGACCAGACUCCUACGGGAGGCAGCAGUAAGGAAUAUUGGUCAAUGGACGGAAGUCUGAACCAGCCAUGCCGCGUGCAGGAAGACGGCCCUAUGGGUUGUAAACUGCUUUUAUACGGGAACAAACGUCGGUACGUGUACCGGUCUGAGUGUACCGUAAGAAUAAGGAUCGGCUAACUCCGUG
rnacentral:rRNA from 1 species